AAUGGGCGAGAGCCUGAACCAGCCAUGUCGCGUGAAGGAAGAAUGUCCUAUGGAUUGUAAACUUCUUUUAUACAGGAAUAAAGUGUACUACGUGUAGUAUUUUGUAUGUACUGUAUGAAUAAGGAUCGGCUAACUCCGUGCCAGCAGCCGCGGUAAUACGGAGGAUCCGAGCGUUAUCCGGAUUUAUUGGGUUUAAAGGGUGCGUAGGCGGGCUGAUAAGUCAGUGGUGAAAGUUUGCAGCUUAACUGUAAAAUUGCCAUUGAAACUGUUAGUCUUGAGUACAGUAGAGGUAGGCGGAAUGUGUAGUGUAGCGGUGAAAUGCAUAGAUAUUACACAGAACACCAAUUGCGUAGGCAGCUUACUGGAGUGUCACUGACGCUGAGGCACGAUAGCGUGGGGAUCAAA
rnacentral:rRNA from 1 species